UGGCAUAAGCAUUCAUUUAAUCUAUAAGAGUGAGAAAGAGGAACUCCAUAUUUGGAGAACAAUACAGUGAACAAUGCUUAUAAUGGUACCACAGAGAACCUGAACAUCUUUCCAAUUUCAGAAAAGUUUCUAACAAAGGGGCUUCAAUCUGCAUGCCUGAUCUUUAUCAUGUGCUCUACUUAAGAUAAGGACAAAUUUUAUACUAUUAACCAUCAACAAGAAACAUUAGGCAGAAAAAAAUCAUACUUAUCCCAAAAUACAUCAAACACAUAACCACUAUAGACCAGAUGCUGAACAAGGUAAAUAAAAUAGAAAAAAAGAUUUGUAAUACUAAGAUGGGAGCUGGAAUAAAAAAUAAAAAGUAUGUUGAGUGACAGCAGGGCAGAAGAGGUCUUUCAGCAACGGAAAGUAGCAACAUGCUUGGUGUUUCAUAUAAUGUAAACGGCGGUAAAGAAGUUUGUGAGCAGCAGUUUGUUGGCAGCCAGGAAUAUCCCUAUGAGUCACACACACACAAAUCCUGGGGGACACGUGUUCCUUCACAGCCACAGAGCCUUACAACUUAGACAGCAGACGACACUCAAGCUAAGCCACACUUGCGACAGAAAUAUACAGCUGAUUCAUGAUGAGGUGUGCCCUAACUAUUUCAAGUUUUUGUAUAGGGACUGAAGAAAACAACAAAACCCUAUGCAGGAAAGCCAAUUACCAGGCCACAAUUUGAAAAGAACACUGUCCGAAUGCAAAUCCCUGGAACACAUUCAACAACAGCACAAACAGUUACAGAAGGAUGUAGAAGGAAGUGGUAGUGUCUACUUCUCAUC